rnacentral:rRNA from 1 species
UACGUAGGGGGCAAGCGUUGUCCGGAUUUCUUGGGCGUAAAGAGCGUGUAGGCGGCCAGGUAGGUCUGCUGUGAAAACUCGAGGCUCAACCUCGAGACGUCGGCGGAAACCAUCUGGCUAGAGUCCGGAAGAGGAGAGUGGAAUUCCUGGUGUAGCGGUGAAAUGCGCAGAUAUCAGGAAGAACACCCGUGGCGAAGGCGGCUCUCUGGGACGGUACUGACGCUGAGACGCGAAAGCGUGGGGAGCGAACAGG